rnacentral:rRNA from 1 species
GAUGAACGCUGGCGGCGUGCCUAAUACAUGCAAGUCGAGCGAACAGACGCGGCGCUUGCUCCUCUGACGUUUGCCGCGGACGGGUGAGUAACACGUGUAUAACCUACCUAUAAUACUGGGAUAACUUCGGGACACCGGAGCUAAUACCGGAUAAUAUCUUGAUCCGCAUGGUUCAAUAGUGAAAGACGGCUUUGCUGUCUCUUAUCGCUGGUUCCCCGCCGCAUUAGCUGGUUGGUACGGUAACGGCUUACCAAGGGAACGAUGCGUAGCAGACCUGAGAGGGUGAUAGGCCACACUGGAAGUGAGACAGGGUCAAGAAGCCUAAGGGAGGCAGCAGUAGGGAAUCUUACGCAAUGGGGGAAAGCCUGACGGAGCAACGCAGCGUGAGUGAUGAAGGUCUUCGGAGCGUAAAAAUCGGUUAUUAGGGAAGAACAAAUGUGUAAGUAAAUAUGCACGGCGUGACGGUAACGAAUCAGAAAGCAACGGCUAACUACGUG